AGAAUCAACGCUGGCGGCGUGCCUAACACAUGCAAGUCGCACGAGAAAGUGGAGCAAUCCACGAGUAAAGUGGCGCACGGGUGAGUAACACGUGAAUAAUCUACCUCCGAGUGGGGAAUAACUGAGAGAAAUCUUAGCUAAUACCGCAUAAUACCCACGGGUCAAAGCAGCAAUGCGCUUGGAGAGGAGUUCGCGGCCGAUUAGUUAGUUGGCGGGGUAAUGGCCCACCAAGACGAUGAUCGGUAUCCGGCCUGAGAGGGCGCACGGACACACUGGAACUGAAACACGGUCCAGACUCCUACGGAGGCAGCAGUGGGGAAUUUUGCGCAAUGGGGGAAACCCUGACGCAGCAACGCCGCGUGGAGGAUGAAAUAUCUUGGUAUGUAAACUCCUUUCGAUGGGAAGAUUAUGACGGUACCCAUAGAAGAAGCCCCGGCUAACUUCGCGCCAGCAGCCGC
rnacentral:rRNA from 1 species